GCGCUGGUUCAGUGCUCCAGCCACAGGGCCCGUGUGGUGCUGAGCUGGGCCGACUACCUCAGAAGAGUGGCUCCCACAGCUCUGGCGACAGCGCUUGACGUGGGCUUGUCCAACUGGAGCUUCCUCUAUGUCACCGUCUCGCUGUACACAAUGACCAAAUCCUCAGCUGUCCUCUUCAUCUUGAUCUUCUCUCUGAUCUUCAAGCUGGAGGAGCUGACCCCCGAGUUAGCUGCCACUGCUCCCCAUCCUACCAGCGUGCGGCACUGGUCCUGGUGGUCCUCCUCAUCGCCGGUGGUCUCUUCAUGUUCACCUACAAGUCCACACAGUUCAACAUGGAGGGUUUCGCCUUGGUGCUGGGGGCCUCGUUCAUCGGUGGCAUUCGCUGGACCCUCACCCAGAUGCUCCUGCAGAAGGCUGAACUUGGCCUCCAGAAUCCCAUCGACACCAUGUUCCACCUGCAGCCACUCAUGUUCCUGGGGCUUUUCCCUCUCUUUGCUAUAUUUGAAGGUCUCCAUUUGUCCACAUCUGAGAAAAUCUUCCGUUUCCAGGACACAGGGCUGCUCCUGCGGGUACUUGGGAGCCUCUUCCUUGGCGGGAUUCUCGCCUUUGGUUUGGGCUUCUCUGAGUUCCUCCUGGUCUCCAGAACCUCCAGCCUCACUCUCUCCAUUGCUGGCAUUUUUAAGGAAGUCUGCACUUUGCUGUUGGCAGCUCAUCUGCUGGGCGAUCAGAUCAGCCUCCUGAACUGGCUGGGCUUCGCCCUCUGCCUCUCGGGAAUAUCCCUCCAUGUUGCCCUCAAAGCCCUG
rnacentral:sRNA from 1 species